AGAGAGAGAGAGAGCAAGCCAGUCUGAAGCUGAAGUUAGAGGGAGACAGGUCUCUCUCUCUCACUCUCUCUCUCUCACUCUCUCACACCCACCCACACCCACCAUGUCUAAAGUGACGAUGAGAUCCAGAAUUUAUUUGGACCAAGAGAGAGAGGAGACUAUGGCGGACGGGGAGGAGGUGAAGAAGGUGGAGGAGGAGGAGGAGGAGGAAGAGAAGAAAGAAGAGGAGAAGGAAGAGAAGGAGGAAGAGGAGGAAGAAGAAACGAAGGAAGAAGAAGGAGGAGGUGAGGAGGAGGAAAAGAAAGAAGAGGAAGAAACAGAGGAGGAGGAAGAGAAGAAGGAAGAGGAAGAGACAGAAGAGAAAGAAGAAGAAGAGAAAGGAGAGGAAGUAGAGAAAGAGGAGGAGGAGAAGGAAGAAGAGAAAGGGGAGGAGGAGGAGAAGGAGGAAGAGAAGGAGGAGGAGGAGGAAGAAAAGGAAGAAGAAAAAGAGGAGGAGGAAGAAGAAGAGAAGAAAGAGGAGGAAGAAGAAAAAGAAGAGGAGGAGAAGGAAGAAGAAGAGAGUGAAAAGAAGGAGGAGGAGGAGGAGGAGGAAGGAUGCGAGAGAGGAGAAGAAGGAGGAGGAGAAGGAGAGGAAGAAGCAGAAGAAAAAGAAGAGAAGAAGAAGGAGGAGGAGGAGGAGGAAGAGGAGGAGGAGUAGAGAAACUAUAAUAAUAAUAAUAAUAAUAAUAAUAAUAAUAAUAAUAAUAAUAAUAAUAAUAAUAAUAAUAAUAAUAAUAAUAAUAAUAAUAAUAAUAAUAAUGUGGCCUGCCAUUAGUGAAUAAGAGAAUCUAUGGUAAAAAUUUGCUUAUAAUGUAAUCUAAUAUUAUUAAUUUUUAUUAUUCUCUAUUUAUUAUUAUUAUUAUUUUUAUUAUCAUUAUUACUAUUUGUAUUUCAGGCUAAUGUUUACGUCUAAUUAUUUAUCUUAUAUUUAUCUUUAUUUAUUUAUUUAUUUAUGUAUAUUAACUUUUUUUAUGUGAUCUCUAUACGAAUUUUCUUUUCUCUUAUUUUUCUUUCUUUUUCUGCUUUUACUUUUCUUUCUAACUUUUCUUCCUUUUUUCCUUCGUCUAAUUUCCAUUUUCUUCCUUUGUCCUUCUGUUUUCCUUUUCCUUUUUCGUCUAAUUACCAUUUUCUUUCUUUCUCAUUUAUUUUUUUCUUAUUUUUUUUACAUUUAUCGUCUCGCUCGCCUCCACGUUCAUGCUUCAUUGGUUGUGCCUUGCCUUUAAGCUGCUGUGAUUGGUUAAGAACGCGAUAUUACGUCAUAGUUUUAGCUCUAAGUGAAAUCUAGCUCUAUUUUGAUUGGCUAGCUUGUAUGGUAACGCUAUGCUGCUCUGUGAUUGGCUGAAACACGAUGACGUCACAGUCUGCUCCUUACGUGAAGCCUAAGAUCUUAAUUUCGAUUCGUUGCCAGAGAGACGCUAUGCUGCAUUGUGAUUGGCUGAAACUCUCUGUGACGUCACUAUCUGCUCCUUACGUGAAGCCUAAGAUCUUAAUUUCAAUUCGUUGCCAGAGAGACGCUAUGCUGCAUUGUGAUUGGCUGAAACUCUCUGUGACGUCACUAUCUGCUCCUUACGUGAAGCCUAAGAUCUUAAUUUCAAUUGGUUUGUUGCCAGAGACACGCUAUGCUGCAUUGUGAUUGGCUGAAACAUUCUAUGACGUCACAAUCUGGCCCUUACGUGUAGCUCAUGACUUAAUUUUGAUACGCUAGCUUUCAGAAUCACGCUUAGCUGUUUUCUGAUUGGCUAGAACACGAUAGUAUGUCAACUUGUCAAGCCUGAUUCUUUGUUUUGAUUGGAUGGCUGGGAGAAACACUAUGCUGCUCUGUGAUUGGCUAAGACAUUAAGAGGUUAUAAAUCGAGCUGUGAACUUAAUUAUAAUUGGUUGCCAGGCAGAGGCACGCUACACUGCUUUGUGAUUGGCUAACAGGUUAAUUGACUAUGAAUCGAGGCUUGAUCUUGCUCUUGAUUGGCAGUUGGUCCUUAAUAAGCUGCUUUGUGAUUGGCUAAAAGGUUAAUUGACUAUGAAUCGAGGCUUGAUCUUGCUCUUGAUUGGCAGUUGGUCCUUAAUAACCUGCUUUGUGAUUGGCUAAAAGGUUAACUGACCAUGAAUCGAGCCUUGAUCUUGCUCUUGAUUGGCAGUUGGCUCUUAAUAAGCUGCUUUGUGAUUGGCUAAAAGGUUAACUGACUAUGAAUCGAGGCUUGAUCUUACUCUUGAUUGGCAGUUGGUCCUUAAUAAGCUGCUUUGUGAUUGGCUAACAGGUUAAUUGACUAUGAAUCGAGGCUUGAUCUUGCUCUUGAUUGGCAGUUGGCUCUUAAUAAGCUGCUUUGUGAUUGGCUAAAAGGUUAACUGACUAUGAAUCGAGCCUUGAUCUUGCUCUUGAUUGGCAGUUGGUUCUUAAUAAGCUGCUUUGUGAUUGGCUAAAAGGUUAACUGACUAUGAAUCGAGCCUUGAUCUUGCUCUUGAUUGGCAGUUGGUCCUUAAUAAGCUGCUUUGUGAUUGGCUAACAGGUUAAUUGACUAUGAAUCGAGGCUUGAUCUUGCUCUUGAUUGGCAGUUGGCUCUUAAUAAGCUGCUUUGUGAUUGGCUAAAAGGUCGAAAGGGUAUAAAUCCAACCUAGAUCUUCAUUUUGAUUGGCUAAAACACGCCGCCCUUUAGAGUAGUGACAUUACGUAAUAGCUGUAUUCUGAUUGGCUGCCACAUUCUAGCACCAAAUUUUCCCUUAAUUCUGAUUGGCUGUCAUAUUCUAACUCCUAUUCUUCCUUUAGUUAUGAUUGGCUUAGACACGCAGUUACUGUUUGGCCCUUUAGAGAAGUGACAUUAAUAGCUGUAUUCUGAUUGGCUGCCACAUUCUAGCACCAAAUUUUCCCUUAGUUCUGAUUGGCUGUUACAUUCUAGCUCUCAUUUUUCCCUUAGUUUUGAUUGGCUGGUUGGUCUUUCUUUCUCCGCCCAAGACAGACAAUCAGGAGGAGUCCCGUCAAAGGUCCGACAUAUCACAUUGCCUUAGUAACGAUAACGAUGACAAUAACAAUAGGUAAUAAUAAAAAUAAUAAUAAUAAUAACAAUAAUGAAUAAUGAUAAUGAAGGGUAUGAUAAGAGGAAGAGGAGAAGAAGAAUUAAUAAAUGAAAUGAAUAUAA